UCCUUUAAAUUAGAAUACUCAUUUAGUUUUAUCUUUAAUCUUAUUUUUCCUCUCAUCUUGCCCAAAAACUUCUUAACAAUUUUGAUUAUAUUCUCUUUGAUUGGUCGACUCAGUUAAAGAACAAUGAAUGUUAAUUUGAGUUAAACAUUUCUUGACAGCAGAAGGAAAAGAGACAAGCAAGAAAAAUAAGGUGACUUCUCUGUUACCGGAGGAAAAUGAAGAGUGAAAGAAGUAAUCCGGAAAACAAAACAUACAGGUCAUAGUUGUGAUGUUCUUUUUAGAAGAUUUUCUUAUCAAGAAUCGAAGGAGCGGAGAAAAUUACUUGACGCGACUGCAGAUAAAAACGGGGGUUAUUCUGGGCAAUGGGCUUGUGAGACUUCCUAUAUCAAAAUCACAGAUUUGUUGGUUUCUAUUGCUGUGCAAUCUACCUGCAGGGGAUUCGCCAUUGAUCUCUCCAAAAGUAAAAGAAUGGAGAAGCCUGUAAGUAUCUAGCAAUUCAAAGUGACACUAUGGACAGUAGUAAACUUGAGUAGGUUUCGUUAUGUAGCAAUCACGGAUGACAAGCAAAGGGUAAGGUCAAUGCCUGAGGCAAAUCUGGGGAUUGAUACAUUUGCUCAUUUUAGUCCAUAGAUUACAAACACACAUAUCUCAAAAGUCAAAAGCUUACAAUUUAUGGAUAGAUGCCAAAUAGCAAGUACUCUAUUUUCAUCUGAUUUUUAAGAAGGUUCCUUUGAAUAGAUCUCUUAAUGCAUGUCAUUACCUCCUAAUUUAUUUUACUUGGUCAGAUCAUAUGAUCAUCUAGAAGCUGUUUGAAGAAGUCAUCAUGUGUUUUUGAUUUGUUUCCUCACCCUAUUAUCCGAACGACUAUUUGUCCAAGACUUAAUGUAAUUAAUAUAGCAUUCAAUAAAAUAUUGGAGCAGUUCAAAUAUGUUCCUGUUUAAAAAUACUC